CCUACGGGAGGCAGCAGUGGGGAAUAUUGGACAAUGGGCGAAAGCCUGAUCCAGCAAUGCCGCGUGAGUGAUGAAGGCCUUAGGGUUGUAAAGCUCUUUUACCAGGGAUGAUAAUGACAGUACCUGGAGAAUAAGCUCCGGCUAACUCCGUGCCAGCAGCCGCGGUAAUACGGAGGGAGCUAGCGUUGUUCGGAAUUACUGGGCGUAAAGAGUACGUAGGCGGUUAUUCAAGUCAGAGGUGAAAGCCCGGGGCUCAACCCCGGAACUGCCUUUGAAACUAGAUAGCUAGAAUCUUGGAGAGGUCAGUGGAAUUCCGAGUGUAGAGGUGAAAUUCGUAGAUAUUCGGAAGAACACCAGUGGCGAAGGCGACUGACUGGACAAGUAUUGACGCUGAGGUACGAAAGCGUGGGGAGCAAACAGGAUUAGAUACCCUGGUAGUCCACGCCGUAAACGAUGAUAACUAGUUGUUCGGGCACUUGGUGCCUGAGUGACGCAGCUAACGCAUUAAGUUAUCCGCCUGGGGAUACGGUCGCAAGAUUAAAACUCAAAGGAAUUGAACGGCUGAGAGUGCGAGACGACGACGAGGGAGGAGG
rnacentral:rRNA from 1 species